rnacentral:rRNA from 1 species
UGGCGGCGUGCUUAACACAUGCAAGUCGAACGGAAAGGCCCUGCUUUUGUGGGGUGCUCGAGUGGCGAACGGGUGAGUAACACGUGAGUAACCUGCCCUUGACUUUGGGAUAACUUCAGGAAACUGGGGCUAAUACCGGAUAGGAGCUCCUGCUGCAUGGUGGGGGUUGGAAAGUUUCGGCGGUUGGGGAUGGACUCGCGGCUUAUCAGCUUGUUGGUGGGGUAGUGGCUUACCAAGGCUUUGACGGGUAGCCGGCCUGAGAGGGUGACCGGCCACAUUGGGACUGAGAUACGGCCCAGACUCCUACGGGAGGCAGCAGUGGGGAAUAUUGCACAAUGGGCGGAAGCCUGAUGCAGCAACGCCGCGUGCGGGAUGACGGCCUUCGGGUUGUAAACCGCUUUCGCCUGUGACGAAGCGUGAGUGACGGUAAUGGGUAAAGAAGCACCGGCUAACUACGUGCCAGCAGCCGCGGUGAUACGUAGGGUGCGAGCGUUGUCCGGAUUUAUUGGGCGUAAAGGGCUCGUAGGUGGUUGAUCGCGUCGGAAGUGUAAUCUUGGGGCUUAACCCUGAGCGUGCUUUCGAUACGGGUUGACUUGAGGAAGGUAGGGGAGAAUGGAAUUCCUGGUGGAGCGGUGGAAUGCGCAGAUAUCAGGAGGAACACCAGUGGCGAAGGCGGUUCUCUGGGCCUUUCCUGACGCUGAGGAGCGAAAGCGUGGGGAGCGAACAGGCUUAGAUACCCUGGUAGUCCACGCUGUAAACGGUGGGUACUAGGUGUGGGGUCCAUUCCACGGGUUCCGUGCCGUAGCUAACGCUUUAAGUACCCCGCCUGGGGAGUACGGCCGCAAGGCUAAAACUCAAAGGAAUUGACGGGGCCCCGCACAAGCGGCGGAGCAUGCGGAUUAAUUCGAUGCAACGCGUAGAACCUUACCUGGGUUUGACAUGGAUCGGGAGUGCUCAGAGAUGGGUGUGCCUCUUUUGGGGUCGGUUCACAGGUGGUGCAUGGCUGUCGUCAGCUCGUGUCGUGAGAUGUUGGGUUAAGUCCCGCAACGAGCGCAACCCUUGUUCACUGUUGCCAGCACGUUAUGGUGGGGACUCAGUGGAGACCGCCGGGGUCAACUCGGAGGAAGGUGGGGAUGACGUCAAGUCAUCAUGCCCCUUAUGUCCAGGGCUUCACGCAUGCUACAAUGGCUGGUACAGAGAGUGGCGAGCCUGUGAGGGUGAGCGAAUCUCGGAAAGCCGGUCUCAGUUCGGAUUGGGGUCUGCAACUCGACCUCAUGAAGUCGGAGUCGCUAGUAAUCGCAGAUCAGCAACGCUGCGGUGAAUACGUUCCCGGGGCUUGUACACACCGCCCGUCAAGUCAUGAAAGUUGGUAACACCCGAAGCCGGUGGCCUAACCGUUGUGGGGGAGCCGUCGAAGGUGGGACUGGUGAUU